UACCAGCACCCCGAGUGGUCGGGACGUUUAUUGGGCCUAAAGCAUCCGUAGCCGGUUCUACAAGUCUUCCGUUAAAUCCAGCUGCUUAACAGAUGGGCUGCGGAAGAUACUAUGGAGCUAGGAGGCGGGAGAGGCAAGCGGUACUCGAUGGGUAGGGGUAAAAUCCGUUGAUCCAUUGAAGACCACCAGUGGCGAAGGCGGCUCACUGGCCCGGUACUGACGCUGAGGCACGAAAGCGUGGGGAGCAAACAGG
rnacentral:rRNA from 1 species